rnacentral:misc_RNA from 1 species
GCGCAGCCCGACUUGAACGGAGCUCUUUUUUGUUGUUGCGAUUCUAGAAAAGUUCUACUAACGGCAUCACGUCAUUCGCAACAACAAAAAAAGCGGGAGUGGAAGGCGGAUUAAGC